AUUGAACGCUGGCGGCAGGCCUAACAUAUGCAAGUCGUGCGGAUGAAGGGAGCUUGCUCCUGGAUUCAGCGGCGGACGGGUGAGUAAUGCCUAGGAAUCUGCCUGGUAGUGGGGGAUAACGUCCGGAAACGGGCGCUAAUACCGCAUACGUCCUGCGGGAGAAAGUGGGGGAUCUUCGGACCUCACGCUAUCAGAUGAGCCUAGGUCGGAUUAGCUAGUUGGUGGGGUAAAGGCCUACCAAGGCGACGAUCCGUAACUGGUCUGAGAGGAUGAUCAGUCACACUGGAACUGAGACACGGUCCAGACUCCUACGGGAGGCAGCAGUGGGGAAUAUUGGACAAUGGGCGAAAGCCUGAUCCAGCCAUGCCGCGUGUGUGAAGAAGGUCUUCGGAUUGUAAAGCACUUUAAGUUGGGAGGAAGGGCAGUAAGUUAAUACCUUGCUGUUUUGACGUUACCAACAGAAUAAGCACCGGCUAACUUCGUG
rnacentral:rRNA from 1 species